GAUGAAGAACGUAGCGAAAUGCGAUAAGUAGUGUGAAUUGCAGAAUUCAGUGAAUCAUCGAAUCUUUGAACGCACAUUGCGCCCCUUGGUAUUCCAUGGGGCAUGCCUGUUCGAGCGUCAUUUGUACCUUCAAGCUUUGCUUGGCGUUGGGUGUUUGUCCAUUCUCUUGCAGAGGGACUCGCCUUAAAGUAAUUGGCAGCCAGUGUUUUGGUUUUGAAGCGCAGCACAAGUCGCGAUUCAAAGCUAUACGCCCGCUUCCACAAGCCUUUUUCACUUUUGACCUCGGAUCAGGUAGGGAUACCCGCUGAACUUAAGCAUAUCAAUAAGCGGAGGA
rnacentral:misc_RNA from 1 species